rnacentral:ncRNA from 1 species
GCGUAAUCGGGAGACAUCGGUGUCCGGGCGUAGACUUUCCGGAUGAAAAGGGAACCCGGUGAGAAUCCGGGGCUGCCUCCGCAACUGUAAGCGGCGAGCGCGCGAUCGACGAUGCCACUGGGAAACCGGGAAGGCCGAUCGCCCACGCAACGACCCGCGAGCCAGGAGACCUGCCGGUGAAACGUCGCUGAUC